rnacentral:rRNA from 1 species
CAAUAGCGUAUAUUAAAGUUGUUGCAGUUAAAAAGCUCGUAGUUGGAUUUCUGUCUCGAACGUUCGGUCCGUUCCUAUGGGAUGUGUACUAGAAUGUUUGAUUCAUUUUUGCGGCGAUCCUUUACUGGCAUUAAGUUGUCGGUGAUGUGGUCUCGCAUCGUUUACUGUGAAAAAAUUAGAGUGUUUAAAGCAGGCGUUUGCAUUGAAUACAUUAGCAUGGAAUAAUAAGAUACGACUUUGGUGGUCUAUUUUGUUGGUUUGCACACCAGAGUAAUGAUUAAUAGGGACAGUUGGGGGUAUUCGUAUUCAGUUGUCAGAGGUGAAAUUCUUGGAUUUUCGGAAGACGAACUACUGCGAAAGCAUUUACCCAGGAUGUUUUCAUUGA